GGAUGUACAUAUCAUGGUGCACAUCAUGUACUGGGGGAAAACAAUCCAACACGAGGAUUGUUUUACUAGAACACAUGGCAGAAUCCUCAAUACUCCUGUAGUUAGGUAAUGAGCAGUCCAACUAGGGACUAUUGCUUCCUAGACAGGCACUGUAGAAUCCUCAAUACACGUGCGGUUGAAACAAGUCUUACUGGCGCAGAAUGCUCAUCAAGGCCUACGACAUACCCCGCCAAGGGUGCCCCGGGUCAUCAACAUCUCACACAUCAAAAAAUCCCUCAACGCAGGUGUGGUUAUCA
rnacentral:lncRNA from 1 species